UCCCUGGUGGCUCAGACGGUAAAGCAUCUGCCUGCAAUGCAGUAGUCCUGGGUUCGAUUCCUGGGUCGGGAA
rnacentral:tRNA from 1 species